ACAGAAGACGAAGAGCUGGAAUAGAGCUCGCCUCGGCUCUGCUGGCCUUGGCUGCAGCUCUUCCAGAAACCCGGGGCGCCCACAGAAGAAUCUCUUACCUGGCUCUCUCUUCAGGGAUGACAUCAUCGGCUCACACCAGUCUUCCAGGACCACCUUCUGGAUGCCAAGGCUGCUGCUCGAGUACCUGCUGUGCACCUCUACCUCCUGGUACCCCAGCCACUCCCUCAAGUUGCCUGCAUGUUAUAUGGCCUAGCCAAGGAGCACGGAUUCCAGGAACCCACUACCAUACAGAGCAACUCCUUGUGGACCCCCCUGGGAUCAGGACAGCGAGGGACAAGCGACAAAGAGGAUCAUCAGUGGCCAGCUAGUUUCUCUGGGGUUCAAACCUUGAACCAGUGCCCUAGUGAGGGGGCACUGGCCAUGGCCCUUGACCUUUGCUCUGCUUGUGUCUUGAGUCUGAGCCCUUUCCUGUACAUCUGUGCUCGUGUUCAUCUGCUAGUGAACUGGAGUGCUGCCCUCCCCGAGGAGGGUCGUCCCUUGUGACUGAUCAUGCUGUCCUAACAAUGUCCUGAGCAAAAGGGUCCCUUUGGGAACCUCUCAGGAGGGGGACCCGGGUCAGGGGCGACCAGCAUCUUGCUGGCAACUCCGUGGGUGGGGUGGGGUGGGGUGCUUCCUUCUGGAAUGAGCACGUGGCUGACCCCCCAAGGCAUGUCCCCUCCCCCUCCUCCACCCACCUUCUCGGAGAUGUCCCUUUUGGGGUAGUGGGGACAUUAGGAGCAACCUCCUAGGGUUGUUGUGAGAAUUAAAUGAACUGCAGCAGCCUGAGGCAGGGCUGGGCAGAGACCUCAGCACAUGUUUGUUGAAAGGUUUGCAGGUGGAUCUAGUCCUCCCGUUCAUGGCUCAUGUGUCUCAACCAUUCUCUCGCAGACUCCUGCAGCCCCUAUGCCCAGGGCUCUCCUUGCGCCAGCCCCGGCUUCUCGAGGCCUGUCUACACUCGCUGCUUUCCUUCCUCACCUCCAAUUUCCCCUCCAACCCACUGCUUCCUGACUCGCUCUUCUCCAUCGAACGGCUCUCGCUCAGGUUUAAGGCUUGGCUUGCUGGCCCUGGAGAUCCCGUCGCCGUCUUCGUCGAACUCGAAAUCCUAGCCAUCGUCCUUCCCUGGCCUGUCGCGUCUUCCUGUGCCAUUUGCUGUUGUGCUCAGGUUCCACGAGCUGCCCAUCUCCACAGAAGAGCAGCUGGCAUUGCCCACCGGCCAUGCCGGCUGAAGAAAAGAAGACUGAGGACCCCAGGAUGCCCAGCGCGAGGACCCCAGGAAGCCCAGCGCGAGGACUCCACCCACGACGCCCAGCGCGAGGACUUCACGCACAACACGUUGCAACCCUCCUGGAUUAGGCCAAAGCCAUCAUCUGGAAUCCUGCGUGGGACCCUGGACACACGGACACAGACACCUGCCCCCAGGACCCUCCAACUGUAAAUCGAUUGGAAGCGCCCUUGUGAGCUGGGGCCUUCAAAGGGCUGAGGAGAAAAUGCAGGCCGAGAGACCAGCUUCUCAAAUAGGCUUCAAGCCUCCAUGACCUGAGCUCACCCCCUGGAAAUGUCUGGAAAACAUAAUGGGCAGGUUUUCUGUCUUCAAAGUUUCCAUCAAAACCUCUUCAAGUUCUUUAUUGUUUAGGACUGAGACACUUGGGGACAGUAAUGGGGACUUUCUUUUGUAUCUGUCUUGAAAGGCCAAAAUAUUUUUAUAUUGCUGUAGACAAAGCCACCUAUUUACAAAUGGACUCUUGUUCCGUCGUUUCCCACCAGGAAGACCGUACUAUGUUUGUGUCUCUAUGUAUUCUGGGGUCUUGAAACAGGUUUCUCAUGGGGAUGGCCAUUCACUAGAGCCCAGAGGGGCAGAAGGGGAAGUGUCUACCCUGCCAAGGGGGUCUGGGGAAGGAGGGGGGCUAGUCUCAGAUUUGCUCCUUGUAUGUCUAGGGUAAACCCUGGGAGAAUCUGGUGGUAAAAGAACAUAUGCUGUGUUUGCCCCACA
rnacentral:lncRNA from 1 species